rnacentral:lncRNA from 1 species
GGAGAUCAUUAUAUACUUCAACAACAAUACUAUAUGAUGACCAGUUCUGAUGGAUCAGGCCAUCCUCAGCAACAAGAUCAACCAAAUCAUUUCUAAUGGAGCAGUAAUGAACUGAACUAGCUAUACCCAGAAAAAGAACUCUGGGAGAUGACUAAAACCAUUACAUUGAAUUCUAAUCCCUAUAUUUAUGCACACCUGCAUUUUUGAUUUCCUUCACAAGCUAAUUGUACAAUAAUUCAGAGUCUGAUUCUUUUUGUAGCAAAAUAAUGUUUUGGUCAUGUAAAAAAAAAUAAAAAAAUAAAAAAAUAAAUCCCCUUGCAAACCUCAAAGUGCUUUAUAAUGUUAACCAAUAGUAAAUCAGACCUUAAGUCUCCAUUUGCUACCAAAGAAUUCUUCUGAACAGUGAUAGAUUUCUGCUCUCUAUGAAAGCCUAGGAAAAAGGAGUUCUGCUUCAGACAACCCUUCCUCUAGAUUUGCCCAGACUUGUCAAAGUCCUUCCUGAAAUGUGGGGUGCAGGCCCUGGCAAAUCCUCAACUUUCCUGGCACCUGCUGCUUCCCAGAUAUCUGGUUUUUACUGGACUGAGACCUAAGAGCGAAGUCCCUUUCCCUCCCAAAUUCGAGAUUGUCUCAAGGGGAGGGAAAAAGAAGGAAGAGAUUUGAAGAGCUCCAAUCUAGCCUUGAAACGUGCUCCUCUCUGGUUGAUUGGGACAUCAAGGAUCCUUGUGAUUAGGGAUCAGCAAAGAUCCUUUAAAUACAGUCAGGCAGAAAGGAGCCACAUGGUGGAAGAGGAAGAGGUGCUAAGGUUGAUCCAGACAAAGCAUCAUGGUUUAAAUUUUCAGGUUAAGAUCCCCUAGCCAGUUGUUGACGCAGCUACCGCCACGGUGCCCUUUUUUGCUGAGGUUUGUCAGCUAUACAGCUUAUUAGCUCCAAUGGCCUAUAACGGCCACUGCUGAUACUCUUCUCUAGAGAUAGGGCAUGAAGGGGAUGGGAUCCAAGCAGGGAAGGAUCUUAGAAGUAGUUCCAGGCUGUCAUGAUAUGUCUGAUUUUGUUGUUUCACCAGCCCAUGCUCCCAUUCUGGAGAGACAUGAUAAUGGAGAGGAACUUAAGAAGAGCCUACAUGGACAGAGCUUGGGGCUAGGAGACAGGGAGAGAGAAGGGGAUACAAAUUUCAGACUGUAGCCCAAGCUUCCAUUGUGAUUUCCAGUUUGUGCAGUCUCUUCUUAUGAUAGCUUUGUAAAGUAGAUCUAUAGUGUCUUUUAGACCCAUUUUCCAGAUAAAGGAACAGUCUCAUCAGGAUGAAGUGGUUUACCAAAUAUAAUAGCCUCUAGGAAUAGGAAGAGACCCAGAGCAUGUAUACAGAUGAAGAAAUUGAGGGGGAGCAGCUAGCCCUAAGGUCAGAGGGCUUGAAGACUGGAAGGACCUGAGAGGUCAUUUGGCCAAAAUGUCUCAUUUUACAGAUGAGGAAACCAAGUCAUCAGAGGGAAGGGAAGGAUCUUGGCCAGUUUCAGGAAGGCGAGCAGAAGCAAAGUUGGGAGUCUGACCAAACCAACACCCUUCUGUCCCUCAUCACUCCCGUGAAGAAUGUCAGGGCCAGGAUCGGCAGACUUACUUGGCUGUCCUUUCUCCAGGUCAGGUUUCUCUUCUACCCCCCAAAACAAGAUCACGUCCCUGCCUUCAUGGAGCUAGUUCUCUACCAUGGGGACCAAUGACAAAUGAUGAUAAACAUGGUACGCAAAGUAAAUCAUCACAUUAAGCGCAUUAGAGAGGGGCUGGGAAACUCUGUAGGUGCCGGUUAUAGCCAACAAAGUGAGUGAGGGAAGGAAGGCUUCCUGGAGGCAGAGGGUUAAAUGAAGCCAUUUCAAUAUGGGUCACUUUAUUUUAAGACUUGAAUAAAGAGGGUGGCGCCAUAGAUGUAGAGUAAGAUAACAAGGAUGCAGGCGGUCUUCACUUGCCGAGCUAGGGCCUGCCCUGAUGGCCAGGAGGUGGUCCUCCUCCCUUGGAACCUGGUGCUCAGAGGCCCCCGAGGAGUGCCCCACCAGGGGCAGUCCCAGGCCCCCCCUUCCGCGUCCCUUUGCACCACGAGGGAAUGGAGGCUGACCGAAUCUGGGGAGAGCCAGCUGAAGGUGGACGGGUCCGGUCCCGGGAAGCGCUGGCUCAGGGGGACGCCACUGCUGGAGAGGCUGGAGGCACAGGACUCCAGGGAGGAUCUCAGGGAGUGGUGACUCCACCAGUGCCAGGCGCUGUCCAGGAGCUGAAAGCACUUCUCUCGGAGCACCAUUCCCCACUGGGAAAAAACAGCCCAGCAGCCCUUGAAGCAGCUCAUGAGCAAGGUGAAGACCAGCUGCUGUAGAAUGCUGCCCAAGAUGAUCUCCAAGGCUCGGCCUUUGUCUUGGUAGAAGCUGACAAGGCUGCCGUAAGCCCCCUCAACCCACGAGAGCACAGCUCCGCCUACCUUGUGGCUCAGGUUUCUCAGCAGAUCCCAGGUGCAGCCCCAGGCCCAUCGGACCAGAGUAUAAAGGAAGGCCAGAGACCAAGCCUUCAUCUCCAGCCAGGGCUGCCACACAGCUUGGUACAUGGGGACCGCCACCUCCACGUAGAGCUUCCGGGCCAGGAUGAGAACCAGGGCUCCGGCCGUCUGCAGGCUGCCGCGCCAUAGGAUGUAAAACCCCACCACAGAGAGGGACAGGUAGGAGGAAGCCAGGUCUGCCAGGGCCACGGAGAGGCCCAACAGGGGCACGUAGAAAUUCACCCAUAGGGAACGGGACAAGCCGUAAACCAGGAGAACCAGAAAGGGGGGAAGCUGCCGGCUGCUGGAUUUGGUGUCAUCCUCUUGGCUGUUGGAAGAGGAGUUGGGACCCUUGUUCCUGGUCUCCUUUGGGCCUUGCCUUGGAUCUCCAACAGGCUCCAGGCCGGGCUCUGGCCACCUACUCAUGGCCCUCAAUCAUCUGGCCAGACUGCUCACCCACUUCACAACCCUUGUUGACAGCACAAGUCCUGGGCAUGAUGUCACCCUGGGUGAGUAAGCAUUAUUACCCAAGAUGGGAGUAUCCAAAAAUGAAGUGUCUCCUCUGAGGCGCUCACAUGUGCCACCUUACGGUUACUGAGCCAUAUCACCUGGGCCAAGCUACCUGAGGUAGUGUUAAAGCACAGGGAAUUUGGGCUCAAGAAGCAUCGAGAAUUAAGGCGGGGGAUUCUUAACCUGCCAUCUGUGGGUUCUUUGAACAUUUAUAUUUCAAUAUAACUGGUUUCCUUUGCAAUCUUUUGUAUUUUAUUGAAUACAUUUAAAGGUAUGAUUCUGAGAAGGGAUCCAUCAGUUUUAUCAGAUGUCCCAAUGAGUCCAAAACUCUAAAAAAAGUUAGGACCUAUUCAAAAGAGAAGGAUAAGCGAUAACAACGGUAAAGACUUAGGCUCGACUAGUGUGGUCCUAACUUUUUCAGAGUGAUUCCCACCCCACUCCUCCUAAGGCCCAGUGGAUAGAGCUUGUAAGAAGGCAUAUGUAAAGGUAUAAAAAACAUUUUCAUAAAAGUCAUGUUGUGAAAGAAAAUAUAGCUCUCCCCUAUCCCACCCCCAAAAAACUCUCAAGAAAAAUAAAUUUUUAAAAAGUAUGCUUCGAUCUGUAUUCAGACACAAUCAGUUUUUCCUCUGGCUAUGGAUAGCAUUUUUCAUCGUAUAUCCUUGAAAGAAAUCAUGGACUUUGCUGAGAAUAGCAAAGUCAUUCACAACUAAUCAUCCUACAACAUUGACAUUUGCUUGAGUUUAUGGAGGACUUUCUAGGUUUUUCUGAGAGAAUCUUGCUCAUCAUUUACCAUAG